CCCUUUGAUACUCUGGGCGGCACGCGCGCUACAAUGGACAACUUAACGUGUUACAUGUCCGAAAGGAUGUAUGCAAAUCACAAAUGUUAUGUCUCGAGUGGGAUAGUUUACUGCAAUUAUAGACUUGAACUAGGAAUCCCUUGUAGGUACACUGAAGCAUAGUGUACCGAAUACGUCCCUGCCGUUUGUACACACCGCCCGUCGUUUCUUCCGACUGAUACUCAUUGUGAAUUGCGGGGAUAACGUUGUUGAAAACCGUUGUAAAUGCUGGGUAUUGGAGGAAGAAAAAGUCGUAACA
rnacentral:rRNA from 1 species